rnacentral:rRNA from 1 species
UACGUAGGGUGCGAGCGUUAAUCGGAAUUACUGGGCGUAAAGCGUGCGCAGGCGGUUUUGUAAGCCAGAUGUGAAAUCCCCGGGCUCAACCUGGGAAUGGCAUUUGGGACUGCAAGGCUCGAGUGCGGCAGAGGAGACUGGAAUUCCUGGUGUAGCAGUGAAAUGCGUAGAUAUCUGGAGGAACACCGGUGGCGAAGGCGGCGUUCUGGACUGUUACUGACACUGAUGAACGAAAGCCAGGGGAGCAAACGGG